UACGGAGGGUGCAAACGUUGCUCGGAAUCAUUGGGCGUAAAGAGCGUGUAGGCGGCUUGGUAAGUCCGCUGUCAAAGCCCGGGGCUCAACCCCGGAAGGUCGGUGGAGACUGGUUUUCUUGAAGCUGCCAGGGGGAGAUGGAAUUACCGGUGUAGCGGUGAAAUGCGUAGAUAUCGGUAGGAACACCAGUGGCGAAGGCGGUCUCCUGGAGCAGACUUGACGCUGAGGCGCGAAAGCUGGGGGAGCGAACGGG
rnacentral:rRNA from 1 species